UUAAAUUGAAGUAGUUUUGAAUUCAUGGCUCAGAUUGAACGCUGGCGGCAGGCCUAACACAUGCAAGUCGAACGGUAACAGGAA
rnacentral:rRNA from 1 species